CAGAAAUCGAGAAAAAGGCCCCAAGAUCAGUAGAGGCGUGUAACAUGUGCAAGAUCAAAAAAAUCAGAUGCAGCGCCAAUAGAAUUGCAUGUAAAUCGUGCAGGCAAGCAAACGAACUAUGUUGCUUUACUCACCCUACUACUGGAGAGUCGUUUCUACGCGGAUGGCGCGUAAGUCGAUUUGGAGAUGUAGUAAAGGAGCUGGGGCAGCUGCGCAAAGAAAAUGAGGAAUUACGAAAACAUAGUGAUAUGUUGGAACGGAAAUGUGGGCAGGAUUCAGAGGUCAAGAGCUUACUUGACGAAUGGAGAAGACAGGAGAAAGCGAAGGACGACGCCAGAAUGAAGGCCCGAAAGGAAAGAUUGAAGUACCAAAGGAAAUUUAAAAAGGAGUAUCUGAGAAUGAAGGCGGCGGUUAUGGCCAAGGCAAUAGAAACGGAAAAUAAAGAUACGCAGAAACUUGCAGGAACAGGAGCAGGAACACAACAUGAAAAUCAGCCACAGCACGUUCCAGCAGAUAAUUCUAUGGCCCCAAGUGGAGGCAAUCUGCAAGCCUACCAGCAAAAUCCUUUUUCUGAUAUAGAUAGUAGUUAUCCUGAUCCGUAUGGAGGAUUGUCAUCCAUUGUACCUGGAGCCUCCCGCUCUUCAAGGGGCCAAAACUUUCCCGGACUUCCUUCCCAGCACAGCCUUGACUUUGCUCUUGACCCUGAACUCACAAAACCUCGCCAACGCAAUCGGCAGCAACCCCGACAGCCCCAACAACCUCGCACUAGAGGCAGAAACCCUCCCGCCAGGCAGCCUCCACACCCAAGCCAGGGCAUGGGAGAAGCAUCUACGAAACAAAACGUUGAUCCACGGACACAACAAACUGAGCAUGGUAUCUUUGUUGACCCCCAAGACCUGCAGUUGAAGCCAGAGAUGCCAAGGCAGCCAACACACGAACAUCCAGAGCGAGACCUGCCACCGCAGAGAACCAAAAAACAAUUCGAUGACAUCCGCGACUCUGAGUUUUAGGGAAAUUGCUCUUUCGUUGGAGAGGAAUUUUUUUUAACCUCCAUUCUUUCCUUUCUUCCCGGUUACUGCGGUGUUGGAGGAUAGUGUAUAUUUAUGCAUGAUGAUGGGGCCGAGAGUGUCACCAGCUAUUUGUGUAAAUAUAUCUAGGCAAAAAAGCAGGAGCGCUGGUGAGCAUUUUGAUCCUAAUUCUUCUGUUGCCCCGUCACAAAUUCCCUCUGCCUCUAGGUUCUGGCUCCUCUGCUCACGGCGGUUUCGACACCAACGUUAGUAAACAUAUGUUACUCUCCCAGCUAUGAUUACCACGCUUUUAUUGAUUAGAGUCGGUCUACUUCACUUUUUUUACUUCACUUGUUCAGCUUUUUCCCCCUUUUCUUUUCCUUCUUUUCUUUGGAGUUGGCCUGGGUUGGACCACGAUUGGCUAUUGUCUCUCUUGAAUUUUAUUGAUCAAUGUCCUUAUUCUCAUAUUUCAUUUUUUGUUUAAACUGGCUUGGGUGUUUCCCAAAUGCAUAGUUACACGUAAGAGAACAACAACAAAAAGUUUCAGGAUCAAAGUGAUAACUAAUGGUGCAAGUCAUAUUUGCUAUUAUUGUUCAUUCAUACAAACUAUUGGUCAGAACAAUCGCAGCUUCCCUUGUGUGCAAAAAAUGAGUGAGAAAAGCGCUAUAUUUUGCAACCUAUGUUGAUACAGAUGGGAAUGAACUGUUGAAUAUAUGUUCAACAUACACAAUGAC
rnacentral:sRNA from 1 species